GACGAACGCUGGCGGCGUGCUUAACACAUGCAGGUCGAACGGAAAGGCCCUGCUUUUGUGGGGUGCUCGAGUGGCGAACGGGUGAGUAACACGUGAGUAACCUGCCCUUGACUUUGGGAUAACUUCAGGAAACUGGGGCUAAUACCGGAUAGGAGCUCCUGCUGCAUGGUGGGGGUUGGAAAGUUUCGGCGGUUGGGGAUGGACUCGCGGCUUAUCAGCUUGUUGGUGGGGUAGUGGCUUACCAAGGCUUUGACGGGUAGCCGGCCUGAGAGGGUGACCGGCCACAUUGGGACUGAGAUACGGCCCAGACUCCUACGGGAGGCAGCAGUGGGGAAUAUUGCACAAUGGGCGGAAGCCUGAUGCAGCAACGCCGCGUGCGGGAUGACGGCCUUCGGGUUGUAAACCGCUUUCGCCUGUGACGAAGCGUGAGUGACGGUAAUGGGUAGAGAAGCACCGGCUAACUACGUG
rnacentral:rRNA from 1 species